ACUUCAGAGAUUUGAUCUAAGAAAAUGACGGUCUUUACAGUCGCGGGAGCACCAUUUUCCUACUUAGGGAGAGGACACAUGUCAAUGCAGGUGCUCGGCCCCCUCAAUAGUGACGGCGAUUAACCUACAGGUUCCAUCAAUGACGGCAGCUCGCCCGUGCAAUCAAGAACCAUCUCACUGCAAUAGCCGUUGGCACUAUCUGCUCGGUAUAUCUGACCUCCUCGUUCUGAUUACUUAGCCUCUCCUCCUCUUUCUUCUUCAUUGUCUUCUUCUUAUACAUCUGUGUCUGUGCAUGGUUUUAUUUCGGUAUGAUGAACACCUUCUGCAGGUGGAUCAAUUCCAGAUGUUGAAAAAAAGACAUGCACAGACACAGAGGUAUAAGAAGAAGACGAUGAAGAAGAAAGAGGAGGAGAGGCUAAGUAAUCAGAACGAGGAGGUCAGAUAUACCGAGCAGAUAGUGCCAACGGCUAUUGCAGUGAGAUGGUUCUUGAUUGCACGGGCGAGCUGCCGUCAUUGAUGGAACCUGUAGGUUAAUCGCCGUCACUAUUGAGGGGGCCGAGCACCUGCAUUGACAUGUGUCCUCUCCCUAAGUAGGAAAAUGGUGCUCACGCGACUGUAAAGACCGUCAUUUUCUUAGAUCAAAUCUCUGAAGUGGAUGCAUGUGCGCAUCGGAUCUGAUUUUGUGUAAUACAGAGCUGAGGGGAGGUGAAUGGGGAUAGGU
rnacentral:misc_RNA from 1 species